rnacentral:lncRNA from 1 species
AUAACCACAUAAUUUAUAAGGAAAUGAGUCUACCUUCUCGAUGGGCCUUUGGCUGCAUGCCCUUCCUGAAGGCUCAGGGGAGCUUUUCAGGCCAAAGCAGGAGCAACAAAGAGGUCCAGGUCCCAGAGAGCCUCAGCUGUCCCAGGCCUCCUUCCCAUCUGGGCCUCUGCACGUUCCUCCUCGCAGUGGGGACCUGAGGAGGAGGGAUGCUGGAGAGGAGACAUGACGGAGGAGUCCACUGAAGCCAAGGGGAAAAGGGAGAGAAGGGGGUGGUGGAAUGAAGAGAUAGACAGAUGGACACGAGGGGACAGGGCCUUUCAGCUCCUGCUGCUUGGAAGCUGGAGCUGAGGCAAAACCUACCAAAUGAAAUAGAGUCUGUCCCAUCUAUCCUGGAAUGCCACACCCAGACAGCAAGGCUGGAUCCAGAGUGGGAGAGUGGCCAAUGCAGACCAGUUCACAAGGAGCAUUUAUCACACGCCAGGCACGAUGCUGGGAAACCUGAGAUGAGCAAGACCACACAGUCGCUGCCUCCUGGAGUCUACAAUCGAGUCUUUCAUCCUUCUGUUGCCUAAAUGCCAGUGCUCUCUGAGGUCCUGUCUGCAGCCCUCCUCUCUCUGCAAGACUCUCGCCCAGAAUAAGUUCGUUCACUCCCAAGACUUCACACGUCCACCCGCUGGGAAUGUCUGUCCCUCGCCAACAACGCCCUCUGGAACUAGCCACUUCCUACCCAUCUCAAAAGCUAUCUCCUGAAAACAAACACUUUCCCUCUUUUUAUUUAUUAUCGCUAAAAAAAAAGGAAGGAAAUUUGACAGAGUUAAAUCCCUCCUUUCUCCCAGAGUUUGUUGUUCUCCUGAUUAAUAAAAAUAUAGCUCCUACUAUUUGCCAGGCCUUGCCCUAAGCCCUUUAUGUAUAUUAACUUAUUUAAUCCUCCAAACAACUGCAGGGAGUAGGCACCACUGUGCUAUUAUUUGCUCACAGUUCUUCCUUCUCCCUGUGUCUUUGCUCUGCUUCUCUGUGGGUGGAGUGAGCUUCCCCCACACCACUCAUUUCAGCCUUGUGACUUGCUCUGGCGAACGGAAUGUGGGUGGAAACAACACGCCAGUUCCGAGCCAAAGACUUAACAAGGCAUCAUGUGUUUUCAGUUGCCUCUCUUCUGCUUGUGACCUUUGCCAUGGAAAGAACACAUCCUGGAUAGUUGCUGGGGGAGACUAGUGGAGCAGACCUGAACCCAAGCCACAGCCUGGAGCCAAGCCCAGCAGAGCCAUAGCCAACUGAUAGACUUAUGAAUGAAAAAUAAAUAUUUAUGGUUGUAAAGCACGGGGCUGAGGGGUUGUUUGUUACACAGCAUUAGAGCAGCAAUUGCUCACUAAAACAAUUAUUUAUCAUUUUACACAUAAAAGGGAGACCUGCAGAGGUUAUUAACUUU